rfam:Oryctolagus cuniculus chromosome 15, whole genome shotgun sequence.
GUAAUGGAUUUAUUAAAAUCCAUUUAGAGACAGAGAAAUAAUUUUU